UCGGGAUUACUGGGGCGUAAGCGCACGCAGGCGGUCUGUCAAGUCGGAUGUGAAAUCCCCGCGCUUAACCUGGGAACUGCAUUCGAAACUGGCAGGCUAGAGUCUUGUAGAGGGGGGUAGAAUUCCAGGUGUAGCGGUGAAAUGCGUAGAGAUCUGGAGGAAUACCGGUGGCGAAGGCGGCCCCCUGGACAAAGACUGACGCUCAGGUGCGAAAGCGUGGGGAGCAAACAGGAUUAGAUACCCUGGUAGUCCACGCCGUAAACGAUGUCGAUUUGGAGGUUGUGCCCUUGAGGCGUGGCUUCCGGAGCUAACGCGUUAAAUCGACCGCCUGGGGAGUACGGCCGCAAGGUUAAAACUCAAAUGAAUUGACGGGGGCCCGCACAAGCGGUGGAGCAUGUGGUUUAAUUCGAUGCAACGCGAAGAACCUUACCUGGUCUUGACAUGCAGAGAACUUUCCAGAGAUGGAUUGGUGCCUUCGGGAACUGUGAGACAGGUGCUGCAUGGCUGUCGUCAGCUCGUGUUGUGAAAUGUUGGGUUAAGUCCCGCAACGAGCGCAACCCUUAUCCUUUGUUGCCAGCGGUUAGGCCGGGAACUCAAAGGAGACUGCCAGUGAUAA
rnacentral:rRNA from 1 species